UACGUAUGAGGCAAGGGUUGUUCGGAUUUAUUGGGCGUAAAGGGCAUCUAGGCGGGGUAUUAAGUCGGUUGUGAAAUCUCGAGGCUCAACCUCGAAAUUGCAUCCGAUACUGGUACUCUUGAGUUCGGAAGAGGAAGGCGGAAUUCUUGGUGUAGCGGUGAAAUGCGUAGAUAUCAGGAAGAACACCGGUGGCGAAGGCGGCCUUCUGGUCUAGAACUGACGCUGAAGUGCGAAAGCGUGGGGAGCGAACGGG
rnacentral:rRNA from 1 species